CACGUAGGGUGCGAGCGUUGUCCGGAAUUAUUGGGCGUAAAGAGCUCGUAGGCGGUGUGUCGCGUCGGCCGUGAAAACCUGCAGCUUAACUGUGGGCUUGCGGUCGAUACGGGCAUCACUGGAGUUCGGCAGGGGAGACUGGAAUUCCUGGUGUAGCGGUGAAAUGCGCAGAUAUCAGGAGGAACACCGGUGGCGAAGGCGGUCUGCUGGGCAGUUGCUGACACUGAGGCGCGACAGCGUGGGGAGCAAACAGG
rnacentral:rRNA from 1 species